rnacentral:rRNA from 1 species
UGCCAGUACAAUAUGCUUGUCUCAAAGAUUAAGCCAUGCAAGUGUAGGAAAGCUAUCACAUAGGGAAAUUUAACCUUAUGAUGAUUUAGAUAUCUGUAGAUUGCUCAUUAAAAGAGUUUUAUGCUCAGCCACUGGUAGUAUGGAGAGUUUUUUAAAUUUUUCAUUAAAAGGAUAACGCUGUUAACCUCUGCGAUAAUACUUGAUAUAAAAUAAAUAGUGAGUGAAUUAACAUUAGCUAUUUAGUAGUAGAUUAGCGAUGAAAUCGCAUCUAUUAAAACCGUAUUAUUAAUUUUUGAAAUCAGGGUUUCUAAUCUUGAGAGUAAAUUGUUAAAUGAUUGGUUAUUGACCGACUUGAUACAAAAAUGGAUUCUUUGCCUAGAUUUUAAUAGGUUUAGGAAUGAAGAGUUCAAAAAGUUGGCCCAGAGGAAGCGAUUCUUACCUAUCAGUUUCUGUCGUUUCAGUAAGGGUGAAACUUGACUAUUACGGGUACGGGGAAUUAGUGUUUAAAUCCGGAGAGGGAGCCUGAGAAAUAGCUACCACAUCUAAGGACGGCAGCAGGCGCGAAAAUUACCCAAUACUAAUACAGUGAGGUAGUGACGAGAAAUAACGACCUUCUAUUUAGAAGGGUACCGGUCAAACGGUUUGAAAUGGUGAUGGAUCAAAAUUCUAUCAGAGCAACAAUUGGAGGAAAAGUCUGGUGCCAGCACCCGCGGUAAUUCCAGCUCCAAUAGUGUAUUUUAAAGUUGUUGCGGUUAAAACGCUCGUAGUUAAUUUAAGAGUUUGAAACAAUUUUACAUUAAUGAUUCGUGGUUUCAUUUCGUUGUAAUAUUUAGAUGGAGUGAAAUCAUAUUCCUUUUUAGGGAGUUGAAUUGUUAAUCUCGGUUCUAAGCUUCUUUAAAAAUUCCUUCGGGAGUUUUUGGGAGUGGUGAAUGUAGAAUUGCAUUUUGAAUUUGCCAUAUUAGAUUUUAUCUAAUAACUCAACUGUGAGAAAAACAAAAUGCUCAAAAUAAACAAUUUUGGUUAAUUUAUUAACCUUGUUUGAAUGUUAUAACAUGGUAUUGAGAGAAAGUGAUUUAGUUUUCGAAUUAAAUUACGUUACGAUUGGGAGAUAGGGGGAGGGUUCCGGUAUUGCUUCGUCAGAGGUGAAAUUCAAUGACCGAGGCAAGACUAGCAGAUGCGAAAGCUGUAAUACCCACCACGCCUCCGUCAAUCAGGAACGAAAGUUAGGGGAUCGAAGAUGAUUAGAUACCAUUGUAGUCCUAACUGUAAACUAUAAUGACAAGAGAUUGGCAUGAGACCUUUUUUCCAGAUCCCCUCAGAAUCUAAAGGAAACUAAAAGUUUUUGAUUUCCGGGGGAAGUAUGGUCGCAAGGCUGAAACUUAAAAGAAUUGACGGAAG